CUUCAAUGAUGUAUCAGAUGAAGUUUCAAAUUGCAAGCACUUGGUUACAGGAAAGUUGGCAUUGGCCAAGUCCUUUUGCAUAGGGAUGUUGCCUAGAUUCUAAGACCAAUUGUCCAAGAUCAAACCAAUAGUGCACACAAUAGUUUUUUUAAGGUUUUUUGUUUCUUAUUAUGUACAUUAAUGGUCAAAGACCACACAAACAAACAAAAUAU
rnacentral:lncRNA from 1 species